GACGAACGCUGGCGGCGUGCCUAAUACAUGCAAGUCGAGCGCAGGAAACUGACGGAACUCUUCGGAGGGAAGGCAGUGGAAUGAGCGGCGGACGGGUGAGUAACACGUAAGGAACCUGCCUCAAGGAUUGGGAUAACUCCGAGAAAUCGGAGCUAAUACCGGAUAGUUCAACGGACCGCAUGGUCCGCUGAUGAAAGGCGCUCCGGCGUCACCUUGAGAUGGCCUUGCGGUGCAUUAGCUAGUUGGUGGGGUAACGGCCCACCAAGGCGACGAUGCAUAGCCGACCUGAGAGGGUGAUCGGCCACACUGGGACUGAGACACGGCCCAGACUCCUACGGGAGGCAGCAGUAGGGAAUCUUGCGCAAUGGGCGAAAGCCUGACGCAGCGACGCCGCGUGGAGGAUGGAGGUCUUCGGAUUGUAAACUCCUGUUAAGAGGGAAGAAAUCCUUUUAUUUAAUAGAUAAAGGGGAUGACGGUACCUUUAGAGAAAGUCCCGGCUAACUUCGUGCCAGCCGCCGCAGUAA
rnacentral:rRNA from 1 species